GAUGAACGCUGGCGGCGUGCCUAAUACAUGCAAGUCGAGCGAACAGACGAGGAUCUUGCUCCUCUGACGUUAGCGGCGGACGGGUGAGUAACACGUGGAUAACCUACCUAUAAGACUGGGAUAACUUCGGGAAACCGGAGCUAAUACCGGGUAAUAUAUUGAACCGCAUGGUGCAAUAGUGAAAUACGGGUUUGCUGUGACUUAUAGAUGGAUCCGCGCCGUAUUAGCUAGUUGGUAAGGUGACGGCUUACCAAGGCAACGAUGGGUAGCCGACCGGAGCGGGUGAUCGGCCACACUGGAAGGGGGCCACGCUCCAGGCUACUGCGGGAGGCAGCAGAAGGGAAUCUUACGCAAUGGGCGAAAGCCUGGCGGAGCAACGCCACGUGAGUGAUGAAGGUCUUCGGAUCGUAAAACUCUGUUAUUAGGGAAGAACCACUGUGUAAGUAACUAUGCACGUCUUGACGGUACCUAAACAGAAAGCAACGGCUAACUACGUG
rnacentral:rRNA from 1 species